UGCUUGUAAUAAUGAAAUGUUGAGACAUAGCAAUAAAGUUAUGUGUUUUGAGAAAAUCAAAGUUUAUUGCAGCUAAUUGUUAUUGGAAUCACAUGGUAGGGAAGUAACCAUGGGUCAUCCUUAACUACUUUAGUGUUAUUUUACAUGGUCAUUCUUAAUUACUCGUAGAAUAUAAAAAUAGAAUUAAAUCAUAAAUUUUGUUUUGAAAAGAUAAAAUUUUAAAUUUUUAGAAUAUUG
rnacentral:lncRNA from 1 species